rnacentral:rRNA from 1 species
UACGGGGGGGGGCAAGCGUUGUUCGGAAUUACUGGGCGUAAAGGGCUCGUAGGCGGCCAACUAAGUCAGACGUGAAAUCCCUCGGCUUAACCGGGGAACUGCGUCUGAUACUGGGUGGCUUGAAUCCGGGAGAGGGAUGCGGAAUUCCAGGUGUAGCGGUGAAAUGCGUAGAUAUCUGGAGGAACACCGGUGGCGAAGGCGGCAUCCUGGACCGGUAUUGACGCUGAGGAGCGAAAGCCAGGGGAGCAAACGGG